rnacentral:sRNA from 1 species
UUAAGAAACGAUUAACCCACGAUCAUGU